rnacentral:rRNA from 1 species
GCCAGACUCCUACGGGAGGCAGCAGUGGGGGAUAUUGCACAAUGGGGGGAACCCUGAUGCAGCGACGCCGCGUGGGUGAAGGAGUGCUUCGGCAUGUAAAGCCCUAUCGGCAGGGAAGAAGCAAGACGGUACCUGACUAAGAAGCCCCGGCUAACUACGUGCCAGCAGCCGCGGGAAUACAUAGGGGGCGAGCGUUAUCCGGGUUCACUGGGUGUAAAGGGAGCGUAGACGGCCAUGCAAGCCAGGGGUGAAAGCCUGGGGCCCAACCCCGGGACUGCCCUUGGAACUGCAUGGCUGGAGUGCGGGAGGGGCAGGCGGAAUUCCUGGUGUAGCGGUGAAAUGCGUAGAUAUCAGGAGGAACACCGGUGGCGAAGGCGGCCUGCUGGACUGCAACUGACGUUGAGGCCCGAAAGCGUGGGGAGCAAACAGGAUUAGAUACCCCUGUAAGU